rnacentral:lncRNA from 1 species
GACUUAUAUGGGUCUCCAACCUACUUCUAACUCUGGUAUCCUUGAUUGUAGCUAAGGCACUCAUAGAUAAGUUGGCACCGGUGGCGGCCGGUGCACUAAAAGUAUAAAGGGCAACCUCUGUACCCCCACCAACUGUUACACCUACCUUUUUGGUAGGUGGUAUCACAUCACUAUCCAAAAUAGUUAUCGUGGAGGUCUGUCCAGCUUCUUUCUCCUUUCU